CGAGAUGUGGCGCAGUCUGGUAGCGUCAACGCCUGGGGGGCGUGGGGUCGCAGGUUCAAAUCCUGUCAUCUCGACAA
rnacentral:tRNA from 1 species